rnacentral:lncRNA from 1 species
UCUCUGUAAAAAUAAUUAGUCACCAGGUCAUGAGGGGAGGAAGGGAGGGAGGCUGUGGGUGAUGAAGGAGGAUAUAUAAAAGGCUCAAUAAAGUGGGAAGGAGAAGGCUCUCCCUCUCCUCUCCUUUUCUUUUUGCCCGAAUUUGUGUUGUUUUUCUUAAUCCUCACCUCUCUCCUCAGGGGCAUCAUCUCAGUCCUGGACCUCUCCAUGGAUUUGUUCAUCAUUGCUGGUGUGGGUCACUCAGGUGCAGCUGCGUUAUCACUCUCAGCUGGGGUGCUAUUGCCUGUUCUCUGAGAUGUUGGUGGUUCUACCAGCGUGACCCACAGAAUCACAUUCUGGGAGGGCAGCCACAAGGUUUCAUCAUUAUCUGUCAGGACAUGAGGCAAAACCUCUCCCCCAAGUUAUUAAGGCAGCAGGGCCAUUCAAUUUACCUGUUUGGACAUAUUUCCAAAGGACCUGUAGUUUCUGAUUCUUAGCUGUGGCAUCUGCAUGCCAAUGGAGCAUUGCAGGUGGUUAUGUGAAGCCUGCUACAGGUUUUUAAAAAUUAAGUACAAAAACAGCUACAUCUAAAUGGGCUUGUGGAGGCAGCUGAUUUUCUUUUGAUUGUUUAAGCAAUUGAUGUUUGAGGGUGGCAUGGGCUUUUUCUACUAUGGCCUGCCCUUGUGGAUUAUAUGGGAUACCAGUACUAUGGUUAACAUGCCAAAUAAGAAAGAAUUUUUGGAUAAAUUUAUUAACAUAUGAGGGACUAUUGUCAGUUUUAAUAUUUUUGGGUACUCCCAUGGCAGCAAAGGUGGAUAAGCAGUGUUGUUGGACAUGGUGCUCUUUCUAACCAGAGUGACACAUGGCAUGUAUCAUAUGUGAAAAUGUAUCUAUAGAGACAUGUAUAAUUGAUAUGUAUUGACUUACUCUUGUCAAGACUUUUUCUUUUUGUUGGAUUCUCCCCCUUUGCAUUUAAUUUCUUGUUGUGUCCAAUGGAUUCAUUCUGCAGGGCUUUCUGGGGUUGUGAUUGUUGUCUUUUCCUAGGAUAUUGUUUAAAAUUUUGUGGAGUGCUGAUUUGGUAUUUGUGAAGUACCUUAGGUGCUCUUUGUCAUGCAAGUGUCUUAUUCCUCCAUCAGUUUUGAAAGAUAGUUCUGUAGGGUACAUUAAUCUGGGUUGGAAGUUUUUUUCUUUAGGGCUAGCAAUAUGUCACUCCAUGCUUUUCUUGCUUUGUGGGUUUGUGUUGAGAAGUCUGAUGUGUAGAAAUCCAGAAGAUCAUCAAUACCUACUUCCAGAACCUAUACGCCAAUAAGAUGGACAACACAGAAGAAAUGGACAGACUCCUAGAUACAUAUGAAUUACCAAAGUUGAACAAAGAAGACCUAAAAAUUCUGAACAACCCAAUAACAACCAAUGAAAUUGAAAAUG